AUUGAACGCUGGCGGCAUGCCUUACUCAUGCAAGUCGAACGGCAGCACGGGGCAACCUGGUGGCGAGUGGCGAACGGGUGAGUAAUGCAUCGGAACGUACCUUUCAGUGGGGGAUAACGUAGCGAAAGUUACGCUAAUACCGCAUAUUCUGUGAGCAGGAAAGCAGGGGAUCGCAAGACCUUGCGCUGAUUGAGCGGCCGAUGUCAGAUUAGCUAGUGGGUGAGGUAAAGGCUCACCAAGGCGACGAUCUGUAGCGGGUCUGAGAGGAUAUUCCGCCACACUGGAACUGAGACACGGUCCAGACUCCUACGGGAGGCAGCAGUGGGGAAUUUUGGACAAUGGGGGCAACCCUGAUCCAGCCAUGCCGCGUGAGUGAAGAAGGCCUUCGGGUUGUAAAGCUCUUUCGGCCGGGAAGAAAUCGCACGGGCUAAUACCCUGUGUGGAUGACGGUAACGGAAUAAGAAGCACCGGCUAACUACGUGCCAGCCGCCGCGGUAAGAC
rnacentral:rRNA from 1 species